CUGGUGACAGACAGACAGACGGACAGUGGAGUCUUAGUAAUAGGGGUCCCGUUUUUACCCUUUGGGUACGGUACGGAACCCUAAAAAUGGCAUUCUAUUGUCUGUGUCAAGAAAAUAUACAUCUUUGAUGAAUCCAUAAUUGAGUCGCUUAACUUCAAACUCUGGUAAAUCCAUCUGUCAGAUUAUGCGAUUUUGGUAUUAUGAAAAGGUAAUAGGGUAGAUAUUUGCUGAGAGGGUCGAAUAGAUUUACCUGAGUUUAAAGUUAAACGACACAAUUUUAGUAAAUUGAUUGAUUGACAUUUUAUUAUUUUCAUUAAAAUAAACCGCAAAAAAGGCAAUGUGUUUCCCGUGCUUAUUUGUAGGCGAAAGGGCUUAAAUGGGGUUGGCGACCGUCAAAGGCCACAAGGGAUAGAUGGCGCCACCAUAGCUUGCCCCUUUUUCUAUGAGAUUUCGCUUAACGGGCUGGCAUCCAGGGCAUACAAUUCCAUCAAAAAAAUUGACACAAUUCCAGGGAUUGACAGGGCAAGCUAUGCUGACGCCAUCUGCUAAAUAUUUCGACCGGCCAACCACAUUGUAUACUUGAGAUUUUGUAGUAUUCCUAUGUUUGCAACAAAACCUUUUUACUUUAUUUUGUUACCUUACAUACAACUACAAGUAAAGACACUACAGUGACUAUUGGCAGAUCUUACCUAAUAAUUACCAUCCAUGGUAACUAAAACUAAUGUAGGUAAUAUACUUUCGUACGAAAUAGUACGAAUACAAUUGAAGACACAUUUAGAUUUUACCUCUUUUGUAAUAAGAUUCGAUUUACUAUUUAAAUGUGCGAUAGGCUGCUUAAUACUAGAAAUUAGACAAUAUUUGUAUGAAAUAUUAUUAUUUGUUCUUAAGUAUGUGUCUUGCUCUAUAUUGAUGUGAAAGAGUGAGAAACCCAGUUUUAGAAUGAACCUGAAAUAACUAGAGUAACCCACCUCAACUUAUGAUCGCUAGUUUUUUUUUUAUCAAGCACCUCACUCAGAUAAUUUAUCGAUAUAAUAUCGAUUUGUUAUUACAAAUCGAUAAAUGUUUAUUGCAAUAACUCUAUUUAAAAUGUUUAAUAUUUGCAAUUUUAUACGCCAAUUUCAAUGACGUUAAAUAACCUUUUUGUCGUGUGACAUCCACUCACCCUAAUGCACAGAUUAAAUAACACUACAGAAAAAAAUACACCACUCUCAGCGACUACGGUAAAAAGGUUAAAACGUCCGAAACUGUUUUUAACCUAACGUGAGGUGCUCUGCUCAAAUAUAAUGUUUUGUAUGUUUUAAAAACAUUAUUUUCCAAGUCAAUUAUUAAUAAAUUUUAGAAAAUGAUUUGUGACGUGCCAUGUCUAAAAGGCCCUUAUUCACAUGGAGUACAAGGACCCUUUAGUCAUGGACCGCCACAUAUAUUACUUCAGGUUAACUAAUUAGUAAUUAAAUCUAAAAAGAAAACUUUAGUUUUAUUCCCAAUCGUAAAUAUGUAUUUUGUUAACAAAUGUGAAUUAGAAUGGGAUAUGUAUAAUUUCGAGGAAAUAGUUUUAAAUAGCAAAAUAUUGGUAGGUGCGAGGUCGACUGAAACGACUAGUCAUUAAAUAUUAUAUCCUGGAAAAUAAUGUUUUUGAAUAUCAACCUUCCAUUCGAGAAAACUGUAAAUAGUAUAAUGUAAACGGUUUCAGUGGUUUGUUCACUUCGGUAUGUUUAAAAAUGAUCUCUCAUUUUUUUAUAAUAGUUUUUAAUCGAAAUUAAUUUUCGUUUUGUACAAACUUUCGAAACCGAGUUUUGAUGACUUUAAAAAUAUGAUUGUGAGGUAGAUUAGUGUUUUUUAAUUGGCAAAUCACUUUGACGAGAAUUUAAUUUUGUGGCGCGCCGAGAUUUGUGUACCUAUUACCGAUGAAUAUAUUAUCUGUAGACCAUAACUUUAUCAAUAGUUUGAUCUUAUCUGACUAAUAAUUGUUUUUUUCCAAAUCUGGUAGUUUAAUUGUAUUGGCCAUUACAUAAUCUUCGUUUCACUCGGGGACCGGAAAACCUCUUUAUUUGAUUAAUCUUUUUGAUAGGGUAACCCCCAAUGAAAUGGUUACCCUUACAUUGUGUUGGCCAUAGUUUAAAAUACCUUAAUCGUUCUAAAAACACUUGGUAGACUUUAUCUGUUAAGAGUUUUUGAUAUGGUAAGCGCUUACCCAAAAUUAACUUGAUAUAUUGAUUUGGUAACCCUGUCGUUCGGGUAAGUUAACGAUGUGGUUUUCGAACUGAUACGGUUUAUAAAAGCAAUUCUAUCAAAUACCCUAUCCGAUACCCCUUUAUUGGUAACCGGUGCCGGUCUCUGGGCCCUGGACCCACUCGUAUUUACAUACUUGCUGGUAAAAGACAAAUAACAAAUUGGGAACAAAUCAAAUUAUUUUUAUAAAAUAUCUUGUUUUGUGUUUUUAAGUAGUCACACUAAUAUAUAUAAUAUAAAUUGAAAUAGGUGCCAUAUACUAAAGAAAAAGUGACCAAACCCUCCAGUGGCCGAGAAUGGGCCGGAAUCGAACUUCAGGUUACGCGGCUAACGCCCUGGACUGGACCUCUAGGCCGUGGCCACGGCGGAAUCCCAAAUUCUGGUACUGGACAGUUUUUUUUAGUGUAUGACAUUUAUAUCAGUUUAUAAAGGAUAAAUAAUUGGUUGAGGGCAGCAAAUGACCGUUCGUUGUGGAGUUCCUUGGGGGAGGCCUUUGUCCAGCAGUGGACGUCUUUCGGCUGAGAUGAUGAUCAUGAUGAACUUACAUAAGACAUGUGACUGAUUAUUCUGGCUGGUCUGUGUGUUAAAUGUUUACACAAAGUAGGUUUUUGGCAACCUGUUUAAGUAAACUCCUGCAUAUCCAAACGAAUAAUACAUACUAAUAGGUUCAGAAGUCUCUAAUCUUUCGAGCCCUCUUGGUAGUUUUUUUUUGUACCCCCUUUAAUUUUGUUUUAGUAAAAUAACUAGUCUGACGUGGUCUGACUAAGCUAACUCUGCAUGACAUUUGCAAUGACAAAGCGGUAAAUAGGGAAAAAACUUAAAAUGUGAUUUACUUUAACAUUUUUUAAUAACUACCCACACAAAUUGUACACAUUUUUUACUAUUAUUUUCAAUCGAAUGAUACAGUUUAAGUGGGUAUUUUCUCAUGUAAAUCACAUUUUUUGUUUUGUCCCUAUUAACCUCGGUUGACGGUACGUUAUGGUUUCUUUGUCUAUGCUUAAAAAUAAUAGGUUUAGGUAUAAAAGGGUUAAAUAAUAUCAAUUCGACUACAAGUCCAUGUUGCACACUGUCAGAAAAUCAUCACUUGCGGCUAGAAUAUUAAUAAAUUGUUAAAAUAAUUAUAUACAUCGGUAUUAACAGUCGAAAUUAUCUGAUUAAAACUUUAUAACAAAACAAUCCAUUUAAAUAUCAACCUUCCUAACCAAGCAAGAAGAUGCAAACUAUAAUGACUAAUUUUGUAUAAGUUCAGUGAACUUUUAGUUCCAGAUAAUUUCAACUGCACAUUCUCGGGUCACAUGUUGUGAGACAGGAUUAUGACAAUAGGGUAUUAUGCUACUUAAAUCAUGUACAAAGUAUGCAGGCUGAGUUCUGAUAAUAAGAAUAAGGUAUGAAUAAUUAAAUAAUCACUUUAGUUGUUAGAUGCCCACCCGAAAUAAAGUUAUGGUACAGAAAUCAUAAUACAACUAGAAAUAUAACAAUGCAAUUAAGCUUUACUAUAAUAAUUAAAAAAAAAACUAAGGCCAUUCCGGUUUUUUUUUUCCGUCGCCGAUGAGCCGAUUUUGAUAAGCGAGUUUUCAAUUGAUUGAAUCAUCAAAAUCAGCUCUGUAGUUUCUACACCACGUUGUGGAAUACAGGUCUAGAAUGAAAGCGUAACGGCCCGGCCACGACAUCGGGCGGCUUCGGCAGCGACGAGCCGCGGCCAUAGGUUGGAGCGAGACACAGCGAUCGGACCUUUCGUUCCCACCUAUGGCCGCCGCCGUGGCCGGGCCGUAAGCGUCGUUUUAGAUCUGUAAUAAUAAGGACACAAAGAAAAAUAGGCUCCUAAAUCAUGUAUACGUAACCCUUCGCAUAGUUGAGUAAAACAUAAGAGUUAUACCUUAUACCAUAGAAACAAUUAAGGGUGUAUAGUAUAAGGGCAUAUCUAUGAGUCAUUUUAGUGAGACAUGAGAUUAUCUAAAAAACGACUAUAUCGUCAAAGUAAAACAUGAUUCCCAAAAUGGUGAGGCGUGCCCUUAGUGGAGCGUGUUUUUUUUAUGGUCAAUAAAUAAAUUAAUCAAAAAAUAGUUUUAACUUUUGGGAAGGCUUAACCGAAUAAGUUAAAUUAUGUCGCAUGACGGACUAAACCGGCACUAAAAUAGCACCAAUCUCUUUUUAUAUUGCCGUCGUAAUUAAAAUUAACACCGAACAUCAAAGAGAAUAUAGAUAAUAAAAUAUGACAUUGAUGCAUCAAGGCGGUUUGUUUACAGUUUAUGCAAGAGUGACAGAGAUGUUAGAUAACGCAAUUUCGAUUUUCUUGUUUCGCGAUAGACCCUCAUAGACCGCGGUCCAGGAACAGAUUUCCAUGACCAAUCGCCUCCCGGGCCAAAACUCGUAUAGUGGUUAACAGCUAUGUAUGAUGUACCCUUGUGAACGUCAGUUGCCGCUCCGUUGGUGGGUUGAGGGAUGGCAGCAAAUAAAGUCUAUAAUAUUUUUUUUGUCAUCGCCUCCCGCUUGAUACUUUGUCAGAUGAUAGUUUAGAUGCUAUUGUGAAUAAACAAAAUCGUCAGCCGAUUGUAUCGCUGUGGAAAGACCGUCACCUGGUCACAUGAACAAGUAAAAAAGAAAAUUAUUUUCAGUCAUCGGCGUCAUCGCCUCCCGUUUGAUACUUUGUCAGAUGGUAGUUUAGAUGCUAUUGUUAAUAAAACAAAUCGUCAGCCGGUUGUAUCGCGGUGGAAAGACCGUGUUACGCCUUUCGGUGGCUGCCAUUCCUCAACCCACCUACGGAGCGGCAGCUGACGUUCACGAGGGUUCAUCAUACAUAGCCUGUAACCGCUAUACGAGUUUUCGCCCCGGAGGCGAUGACUGACGAAAUUUGCGCCUGGCUCGCGGUCCAUUAGAUUGUCGUAGUGACGCCCCCUACGCGGAGUUUCGCGUGAUAUUCCCUAAUGCUUGAUAUUACCUAUACGAUAUUUAAUAAGUAGGUAUAUUUUCAUGUAUAUAUUGCUAUAAGAUUAAAUUAACUGGCGUGGCGGUUACUUACACUUUUUUUUAUUUGUAUGUAAAUAGUGUAGUGUAGGGCGUUAAUGCCAACUUUUAACAUAAAAUGCAUAACGGUACUAUGUAUUAUAAACUGAAAUCUUAGAUAACAAACACUAAAGAAAAAGUGACCAAGUCCACCGGUGGCCGAGGCGGGAAUCAAACCCGCGUCUUCAGCUUACGCGGCUAACGUCCUGACCACUAGACCACCCGGCCACGGCGGUACCCGUCCAAAAUUCUCUGGUGUAUGUUAUCUUUGAAAGGCUAGGCGCCUUUGACCAACUCUAAGGGCGAGCAGUGUGUGCCACCCCCUCUUAUACGAAUCCUUUACUUGAUGACACACACUGGAACACAAAUCAAAAAAAUAUUUCAUAAAAUAAUUUGAUUUGUUCCCUAGUUGGGUACUAUGUAUGUUUUAACCGCCAGUGGCCCUUAAUUAUGUACGUAGUUAAAAGCGUCGUUUGGCUGCAGUGUCCAUGUACCAAAUGAUACUUAUCUACGUUUUGAUUGCACCCAUAACGGUAAUUCUAAAAAAUAGCCACAACCGAAUACAGAACCUCCUCCUUCUAUGAAAUUGAAGUCGGUUAAAAAGAAAUCGCGGUCCAAAAAAAUUUUGCACGUUUCUUCAGACAUACCUAUUCGUCAAAAGGUUAAAAAAAACUCAUCUGGGAGAGUUUUGGUGACUAAAGUGAUUAUUACCUGAUUUGGUUUACUAUGCAUUGUAAAAAUAAAUGGAUGAUGAAGCGAAGCACUGUUCAAAGAAUUAAAUGUUAAUUUUUGAAU